UGUAGAGAUCGGGUUCGAACCACAGACCUACCCGUCAGUAAAUGGGCGCUCCAACCACUGAGCCAUCUCCCC
rnacentral:tRNA from 11 species